UUUGUUCUCACAUUUUCACACCACGGACUGACUGCAAACUUAUUCUUCCAGGCAAUUAUGAACUGAGAAAAAAUACAGAAGUACACUUAAUCUAAGGGAAACCAACAAUCAAUUUAUAUAAUUGUUAUUUGAGAACCCAUAAAAGGUGAAUAAAAUUACCCCAAA